AUGUACCACUCGUACACGCCGUUUCCUGUGCCGUCCGCACCCGCCUGACGACUGCUCGCUACAGUUUGUUGGCC
rnacentral:sRNA from 1 species